AGUGAACGCUGGCGGUAGGCCUAACACAUGCAAGUCGAACGGCAGCACAGUAAGAGCUUGCUCUUACGGGUGGCGAGUGGCGGACGGGUGAGGAAUACAUCGGAAUCUACUUUUUCGUGGGGGAUAACGUAGGGAAACUUACGCUAAUACCGCAUACGACCUACGGGUGAAAGCAGGGGAUCUUCGGACCUUGCGCGAUUGAAUGAGCCGAUGUCGGAUUAGCUAGUUGGCGGGGUAAAGGCCCACCAAGGCGACGAUCCGUAGCUGGUCUGCGAGGAUGAUCAGCCACACUGGAACUGAGACACGGUCCAGACUCCUACGGGAGGCAGCAGUGGGGAAUAUUGGACAAUGGGCGCAAGCCUGAUCCAGCCAUACCGCGUGGGUGAAGAAGGCCUUCGGGUUGUAAAGCCCUUUUGUUGGGAAAGAAAAGCAGCAGGUUAAUACCCCGCUGUUCUGACGGUACCCAAAGAAUAAGCACCGGCUAACUUCGUG
rnacentral:rRNA from 1 species